AACGAACGCUGGCGGCAUGCCUAACACAUGCAAGUUGUGCGAUAACCGGGGGCUUGCUCCCGGGGACAGCGGCGCACGGGUGAGUAACGCGUGGAUAACGUGCCCUAGGGUUGGGAAUAACCCACCGAAAGGUGAGCUAAUACCGAAUGUGUUCCAUUGGAGUGAGCUCUGGUGGAAGAAAGCGGGGUAACCCGCGCCCAAGGAUCGGUCCGCGUUCCAUCAGCUAGUUGGUAGGGUAAUGGCCUACCAAGGCUACGACGGUUAGCUGGUCUGAGAGGAUGAUCAGCCACACUGGAACUGAGACACGGUCCAGACUCCUACGGGAGGCAGCAGUGGGGAAUAUUGGUCAAUGGGCGAAAGCCUGAACCAGCAAUGCCGCGUGAGUGAUGAAGGCCUUAGGGUUGUAAAGCUCUGUCAGUGGGAACGAAUAAGCCGAUUAAUAACCGGUGAUGACGGUACCCACAAAGGAAGCACCGGCUAACUCUGUGCCAGCCGCCGCCGUAAUAC
rnacentral:rRNA from 1 species